AUCUGGUUCAGGAUGAACGCUAGCUACAGGCUUAACACAUGCAAGUCGAGGGGUAGCAGGAUCUAGCAAUAGAUUGCUGACGACCGGCGCACGGGUGAGUAACACGUAUCCAACCUUCCGUUUACUCGGGGAUAGCCUUUCGAAAGAAAGAUUAAUACCCGAUAGUAUGCUUUUCCCGCAUGGGAGAAUCAUUAAAGUUUUUCGGUAAUCGAUGGGGAUGCGUUCCAUUAGGCAGUUGGUGAGGUAACGGCUCACCAAACCUUCGAUGGAUAGGGGUUCUGAGAGGAAGGUCCCCCACAUUGGAACUGAGACACGGUCCAAACUCCUACGGGAGGCAGCAGUGAGGAAUAUUGGUCAAUGGACGAGAGUCUGAACCAGCCAAGUAGCGUGAAAAGGAUGACUGCCCUAUGGGUUGUAAACUUCUUUUAUAUGGGAAUAAAGGAGCCUACGUGUAGGUUUUUGUAUGUACCAUACGAAUAAGGAUCGGCUAACUCCGUGCCAGCAGCUGC
rnacentral:rRNA from 1 species